rnacentral:rRNA from 1 species
GACGAACGCUGGCGGCGUGCUUAACACAUGCAAGUCGAACGGAAAGGCCCUGCUUUUGUGGGGUGCUCGAGUGGCGAACGGGUGAGUAACACGUGAGUAACCUGCCCUUGACUUUGGGAUAACUUCAGGAAACUGGGGCUAAUACCGGAUAGGAGCUCCUGCUGCAUGGUGGGGGUUGGAAAGUUUCGGCGGUUGGGGAUGGACUCGCGGCUUAUCAGCUUGUUGGUGGGGUAGUGGCUUACCAAGGCUUUGACGGGUAGCCGGCCUGAGAGGGUGACCGGCCACAUUGGGACUGAGAUACGGCCCAGACUCCUACGGGAGGCAGCAGUGGGGAAUAUUGCACAGUGGGCGGAAGCCUGAUGCGGCAACGCCGCGUGCGGGAUGACGGCCUUCGGGUUGUAAACCGCUUUCGCCUGUGACGAAGCGUGAGUGACGGUAAUGGGUAAAGAAGCACCGGCUAACUACGUG